rnacentral:rRNA from 1 species
GACGAAGGAUGCAAGCGUUAUCCGGAUUCAUUGGGUUUAAAGGGAGCGUAGGUGGCCUUAUAAGUCAGUGGUGAAAUCUCUGGGCUUAACCCAGAAAUUGCCAUUGAUACUGUAGGGCUUGAGUACAGUUGCUGUGGGCGGAAUAUGACAUGUAGUGGUGAAAUACAUAGAGAUGUCAUAGAACACCGAUUGCGAAGGCAGCUUACUAAGGUGCAAUUGACGCUGAGGCACGAAAGCGUGGGGAUCAAACAGG